rnacentral:rRNA from 1 species
UACGGGGGGGGGCAAGCGUUGUUCGGAAUUACUGGGCGUAAAGGCUCGUAGGUGGUCAACUAAGUCGGACGUGAAAUCCCUCGGCUUAACCGGGGACUGCGUCUGAUACUGGAUGGCUUGAGUUUGGGAGAGGGAUGCGGAAUUCCAGGUGUAGCGGUGAAAUGCGUAGAUAUCUGGAGGAACACCGGUGGCGAAGGCGGCAUCCUGGACCAACACUGACGCUGAGUGAGCGAAAGCCAGGGGAGCAAACGGG